AGGAAAAACCUGACCAAAGAAGCCAUCA
rnacentral:piRNA from 1 species